rnacentral:sRNA from 1 species
CGCACACACUCGACCGUGCACGGCAGGAGCGGGGGACCCACAGGUACGAACGCCUGGGCCGGUUCCCGGCAGACAGGCUUGGGGUGAAGUCGCGCUCCCCGCGCGGCCGGACAUCUCCCGUCCGAACCCGACAGCUCACCUCGUAGGCGCCGGAGAGGAAUU